CCGCACGGGUGAGUAACACGUAUCCAACUUGCCGUCUACUCUUGGACAGCCUUCUGAAAGGAAGAUUAAUACAAGAUGGCAUCAUGAGUCCGCAUGUUCACAUGAUUAAAGGUAUUCCGGUAGACGAUGGGGAUGCGUUCCAUUAGAUAGUAGGCGGGGUAACGGCCCACCUAGUCUUCGAUGGAUAGGGGUUCUGAGAGGAAGGUCCCCCACAUUGGAACUGAGACACGGUCCAA
rnacentral:rRNA from 1 species